GAAUAUUGCGCAAUGGGGGAAACCCUGACGCAGCGACGCCGCGUGAGCGAUGAAGGUNNNCGGAUNGAAAAGCUCUGUCCUUGNGGGNGAAGGUCUUCGGACUUGACGGUACCCAUGGAGGAAGCCCCGGCUAACUACGUGCCAGCAGCCGCUGUAAUACGUAGGGGGCAAGCGUUGUCCGGAAUUAUUGGGCGUAAAGGGUGCGUAGGCGGCCUUUUAAGUCAGAUGUGAAAGCCCACGGCUCAACCGUGGGAUUGCAUUUGAAACUGGAGGGCUUGAGUAUCGGAGAGGGUAGUGGAAUUCCCAGUGUAGCGGUGAAAUGCGUAGAUAUUGGGAGGAACACCAGUGGCGAAGGCGACUACCUGGACGAUUACUGACGCUGAUGCACGAAAGCUAGGGAAGCAAAC
rnacentral:rRNA from 1 species